rnacentral:tRNA from 1 species
GAAGAUAUAGCUCAGGGGUAGAGCAUGUGCUUAGCAUGCACGAGGUCCUGGGUUCAAUCCCCAGUACCUCCA